AGUGGUACAGGGCUGUGAUAUGGUUUGGAUGUCUGUCCCCUUCAAAUCUCAUGAUGAAAUGCGAUCCCUAAUAUUGGAGGUAGAGCCUGGUGGGACCUGACUGGAUCAUGGGGGCAGAUCCCCAGGAAAGGCUUAGCGCCACAUCGCCUAGGUGAUGACCCUGUGAAUUCAUCCAUCCAAAUUGCUGGCUUUCCAGUAUCUUUCAAUACUGGAAGCUCUUCAAUACUGCUGGCUCUUCAGUAUCCAGUAUGACCUUCAAGUCAUAUAUCAAGGUGCACCUCUCAUUUGACUCUGAACAAGGAGGUCUAACUUCAUGAAAUCUCUGGAAAAAGGGGAUGUUGGACUGGUAAGGGAAGAACGCCUCGAGUGAGCAUGCGCACAACUGCAGCAAACACGCCACGCACGGCCACUCCCAAGCAUCAGUGGGCCCCCACACAUGCAGACAGCCCACCCCAAGGGAAGAAUCAGGGGAGAAGGGAUGCAAGACCCUGGAAGUAUGCCAACAUGUAAAACUCCAAGUCAAACGUCAAAAUGUGCUCUUGAUCGCUCAAGUUUCCCUCUUGGCCCUCUUCCAGUGUACUUUACUCCUUUUUCAUUCCUGUUCUAAAGCUUUUUAAUAAAUUUUCACUCCUGCUCUAAAA
rnacentral:lncRNA from 1 species